rnacentral:rRNA from 1 species
UCUACGGGUGGCUGCAGUGGGGAAUAUUGCACAAUGGGCGCAAGCCUGAUGCAGCCAUGCCGCGUGUGUGAAGAAGGCCUUCGGGUUGUAAAGCACUUUCAGCGGGGAGGAAGGCGUUAAGGUUAAUAACCUUGUCGAUUGACGUUACCCGCAGAAGAAGCACCGGCUAACUCCGAGCCAGCAGCCGCGGUAAUACGGAGGGUGCAAGCGUUAAUCGGAAUUACUGGGCGUAAAGCGCACGCAGGCGGUCUGUCAAGUCGGAUGUGAAAUCCCCGGGCUCAACCUGGGAACUGCAUUCGAAACUGGCAGGCUAGAGUCUUGUAGAGGGGGGUAGAAUUCCAGGUGUAGCGGUGAAAUGCGUAGAGAUCUGGAGGAAUACCGGUGGCGAAGGCGGCCCCCUGGACAAAGACUGACGCUCAGGUGCGAAAGCGUGGGGAGCAAACAGAAUUAGAUACCCGUGUAGUC